GUAGGACACAACUUUUCCCAGCUGACUUGGUGCAUCGAAACCUGCAGCAUGAUUUGAAGAUAUGUUUGGCAUCAUUGGAAAAUAGGAAAUUUCUUUAUUAAUAAUGAAGGAUUGAUUGCUUUGCAUGGAGCACCAGACAUAACAGAGAAAGCUCUGACCUUGAGAAAUGGGAGAGAGCAGGGGCAGCAGGAUAAGGAAUCAAGGACUCAAAAAGCCUCAUGAUAGGAACCAGAGCAAACUCUUCAACCUAAUCACUACAGCAAGAGAUUUGAGGAUGGGUACCAAGCUUGUUUGCUGCAGGUUUAAGAGUGGGAAUGAGCAGAAGGAAGCAGAGAAAUGCCUGAGGUGGCUUUUCAACUGGAUAUUGACAAACAGGGACCACACCCCCAUGGCACUGCGAUGGUCACCAAGUGAGCUGAGGCUCCUGCUGUUAAUGCUCAUGGAACCUUCAAAACAAUGGCAAAUACCUCUGUAG
rnacentral:lncRNA from 1 species